rnacentral:rRNA from 1 species
UACGUAGGGUGCGAGCGUUGUCCGGAAUUACUGGGCGUAAAGAGCUCGUAGGUGGUUUGUCGCGUUGUUCGUGAAAACUCACAGCCUAACUGUGGGCGUGCGGGCGAUACGGGCAGACUGGAGUACUGCAGGGGAGACUGGAAUUCCUGGUGUAGCGGUGAAAUGCGCAGAUAUCGGGAAGAACACCCGUGGCGAAGGCGGCACUCUGGGACGGUACUGGACGCUGAGACGCGAAAGCGUGGGGAGCGAACGAGGA